CACAUAGAUGCAGGCCUUGUAGCGGAGAGUCCUCAUAAAUUCCUGCCUCUGCUCUGUCUCAGCCUGAAAUCCCACUCUCUGGCCUAAUGCAAACAGUGCCUCAGUCUGCCCUGUCACCUGCAAGACAUCUGGACAGAGACUAAUGCCCAGAACCCAGAUACCAGCCAAAUCCAGCCCAGCUCCACCAAGAAGAUGAAGCUGGAUCCCUGGGGCCAGAAAGGAAGAACAGACAGGCAGACCCUGCCCUCCCUUGGGCACUGCCCUCAGCUCCAGAUUUUCCACAAGAGACAAGACAUAGGGACAUUGCAGUGAUGGAAACAGCCUCUCUCUGGCGUCAUCUCCCUCCCUAGUCCCCAGCCAGUGCUCCCCGGAGUCUCCAUCCCCUAAAAUUAACCCCUGCCCAACCAAAAGCCUCCCUCUACCCUUAUUAGCUCAGUUUGCAAAAAGCCCAGCUAAUGGGGUCCUGCCCAUGGGGAUACUCUCAGGGCACCCCCCCACCAGGGAUACCCACUGGGUUCAGGGUGAGUCAGCAGACCUCAGGCUGCAUAGCAGAAGAAAAAUGCCAGGUGACACAGUAUGCAGUGCUACUUCAGCCUCUCGCUAGCUGGACAUCCUCAGAAAAUUCCUGUAGUAUACCAGGACCUUGUGCUUUAACUCUAAAAAUAAUACAGGCCUGGGAGACAGCAUAAUGGUUCUGCAAAAGACUUUCAUGCCUGAGCCUCUGAGGCCCCAAGUUCUAUUCCCAGAACCACCAUAAGCCAGAGCUGAGCUGUGCUCUGAUAAGGAGGGGAAAAGGGAAAGAUAAAACUUUUUGCAGCCCAGGAGGUAGCACAGUGGCUAGUGUGCUGGACAGGGGAACUUGAGAUCUUGAGGUUAAUCCCUGGUAUCAUAUGUGCCAGAGUGAUAAUCUAGUUCUCUCUCAUGUUAAUAAAUAUUUAAAAAAUAAAAAAAUAAGACAACAGGAACCAGGAGGCUUCUCAGUAGUAGAACACAUGCCUUGCAUGCAUAAAGCCUUGGGUUUGAUCCCUGAUACUAUAUAAACCCCAGAAAGAUAAAAAUAAAUAUAGAUCAUCAUAAGCAUGGAGAGUAUGGCUUUGUUCUCUCUCAAAUGCACACACACACACACACACACACAGUAACCAUUUCCUAGGCUCCUCCUCUACCACACUUUCACUUGAUAGGGAUCAGGUCUGUCUCCUUCCAGCCCUGUGCUCACAAGGAUGACAACAGGGAGUACUGAGACCAGGAUGACCACAGGGAGCACUGAGAUCUGGGCUGCAGGUAGAAGCAGACACCCACCUCAGUGAGACACAGCUCAUUCUUGAUCAGUUCCUUGAGUUCCUUCCGGCUCAGCGUCAGCUUGCUGCCCUCUCGCCCUGAAUACUUGUGGAAAGUGGUGACCAUGGUGGUCAGGGCCUUCUCCAAAGGGGUCUCCAUCCUCAGGCAGGACUUGAGGGAGCUAGAGGGAAGAGGUUAGCCAUCCCCACAGGAGCAUAUACUCUCCUGCUUAGAUUCAGAAAUUGGGGUGGUUCUCAGGGCAAAGUGAUGACAAAAUAACCUCCUGCAGGAGAUGAGGUAAAGGGUCUGGAUUUACUUCCCUGCCCCCCCCCACACACACACACACAUACACCACUUAAACACUGGUUCCCCAAGUCUGUC